GAAAAGCUUGAUUCCAGUCUCUAAAACUCUGCUAACGUGUUCUUCUAUGGCUCUGCCUUUGUUUGAAAUGAACCAUGAAGGUCCUGCUGGUUUCCAUGGAGAUGAAGGAGGUUUUAUAGUGAAGGAUUCACUCUUCCUAUCAUAGACUAUCUUGGGCUU